UAAAUUUUUCAUUGUAAUUUAAAAGAAAAUUGUCUGAAAUUUUGUAUUUAUUCCUCAUUUAUCCAAUUGUUACCUGGUAUAAUAGAUAAAUGUUAAUCAAGUGAAAAGUUUAAACCAAUUAUAACUGUUUUUUGGAGUAUCGUUGGCUAUAUUUUGUAGUGAGUCUGACAAUAUCACAUGAGGGACGUAGAAAGAGCCCCACGCAAGGGUAAUAUAAAUAGAAAUAACCGUUGAGCGUUUUGCACCCCCUUAUUUUUAAAAUUUUCUUGUUUUUAUUUUUAUUAAGCAAUAUUGAAAGGUUAGUUUUUCCCCUACUAUAAGGCCUAAGACUGUCAUAAUCACAUGAGGGACGUAGAAAGAGCCCUACGCAUGGACAAUAUGGACUGAAGUAACCGAUUGUCAAUUUCACAUGACGGAGGUAGAAGGAGCCCCACGCAAGGACAAUAUGGACAGGAGGAACCGGUGAGCUAUUGGCACCUCUCAUUUUUAAAAUCCUUUUUACAUGUAAGAAUGUCAAAAUCAUAUGAGCGACGUAGAAGGAAUCCCACGCAAGCACCAAAUGGAUAGAAGUAACCGGUGAGCAUUUUGAACAUUUUUUGUUAAAAUCUUCUUGUUUGUUAGCAUCUAAUUCUUAGGUAAAUGAACCCUAUUUUUUUCUUGUGUAUAUGGCGAUUAAGUUAUUGUAAUGUGUUAAAGCAAUGCUUAGCCGUCUUCGUGUGAUGAUACAAGGGAGUUUUUAUUAACAAAACUAGUAUAAAAUUCACAAGCACAUUGUUCGAAAACAUUAACUUGCUUUUUAUAAGAAACGAGCAGUUUAUUUUUAGGAAGCUGUUUAAGUAAUUCGUAAUCACAAUUAAUUUACAAAAAGUUACACUUAUUUAAAUCACUCAAUGAACAGACGAGCCGUUUGAUGAUUACUUCAGUAGGGUAUGCAGGUAAUGUUAGUAAGGAGGCUGGACGGAUCAUAUGUAAUACUGAGUUCAUUUGGACAUUAUAUUAUGGGCUAAAUUUUCGAAAAUACAACAUGUUUAUUUAAUUUGAGCAGCGUAUGCUUUGCUUUGUCUGGUAUUUUUCCUUUCAUGUAUCGUUAGUCGCAUGGAACGUACCCAAUUUCUUCAAAGCAUCAAUUGAGGUUAACAUGCAUCUAUGGUUAUUUGAUAUUGUUAUUUUGAGAAUUUAUUGUGUUUUGUAAUGUGUUAGCUUCUUCAUUUUAAUGCUUUUGUUAAUUUUUGCAUUUCAGUUGGUUUUUGAUAGUUGACUUAAUAGUCAACUGUAGUGUAGGACUCCUAGGACUUUGUUGUUUGCUGCUUACCAUUAACCUAGAACGAAUUUGCAGUGAAAUGGCAGUGCAAUGUCUGGGGAUCGUCUCUGUGAUUGUGUGAGCAUCUAGUUCUUAAAUAAUUGACUUAAUAGUCUAGUGUAGUGUAGGGCUCCGAGGACUUUGUUGUUUGCUGCUUACCACUAACCUAGAACGAAUUUGCAGUGAAAUGGCUGUGCAACAUCUGGGGAUCGUCUCUGUGAUUGUAUGGUUGACUUAAUGGUCUACUGUGCUGUAGGACUCCCUGGACAUUGUUGUUUGCUGCUUACCCCUUACCUAACACGAAUUGGCAGUCAAUAAUGCCUCAUAUCACACCAUAUCCCACACCCAAGUCUCGUACCCUAAAUGCGACACCGCACAUCCACAGUAAAUAGCCACACACUUCAUGCCCCAGUUAUGCAACCUAUCGCGCAACACCAUACACACAUCUAACGCCACUCCCAGCAUCUGGUAUCUCGAAUCCGCGCCCGUUGUCUGUUCAGCAUUGUCUGAUAACCAGUGGAUGAUGUACUGUGGUGUUCGAUGUGUGUUGAACGCUUCAUGUGGGAGUGGUCCUAUCUCGAGGUCGGGAAUGUUGUGCUAGGUAUCCCAUGCGGCAGUCGGACAGCAAUAUUCCGAAAUCGGGGUGCGGUGUUUGCUGCAGAGGCCGGAGGUCCGUAAUCAGAUUUCGACUAUGUGUGGUGUGAAAUGUAUUUUUGGAAUGCAAGUUCGACGUUCUCAACGUUGUGUCAGGGGUGCUACAUUUGGUGUCGUCGACUGGUUAUUCUUUGUACGGUAUUUGAUGCACGGUUCUUUGUUUCAGAUAAGCGCCGUUCGGCGUUGUGAUCGGAUUACGGCAUUCAAAAAGUAGUGGAUAGUAUAUGAAAACCUACGGACAUAAAAGGUAUUGUGCCUUGUAGCUGUUGGCGCCCCUUGUUUGUUGCAAGGCAUUCGGCAACUGAUGUGUCGGAUAUUCGGCGUUGUUACCCACAUUGCGGUCUGGGAAUGCAGUACUAGGUAGUCAGUGAGUUGUGUCCGGUGUCAGGAUAUUAUGCCUUGUCCGAUACGGUUCACCAGGGUUCAUGUAACAGGUAAGUGAUAAACGUUACGUUUUUGGAGUGUAGUAGUACUAAUGUAGAGGUCGUCUCGUCAGGUUAGGUCAGGUAAGGUAACGUCUGGGCAUUUCUGGUCAGAUCAGGUGGAAUCAGUUCAGGUCGGGUUGGAUCAGGUCAAGUCGUAUUGGGCCUGGGCAGGUCGGAUUAGGUUAGGUCAGGCACGGCCGAAUUAGUUCAGGUCAAGUCGGUUCAUUUCAGGUCGAAUUAGGUCAGGUCCCGUCAGUUCAGGUCACGUCGGAUUAAGUCAGGUCGGGUUAUGUCGUGCCCGGUGAGGUUAAUUCGUGUUGCGUCGGGUUAGGUCAAAUCGAUCAUCAGGUCGUGUCAUUUCAGGUCAGGUCGAGUUCGGUCAGAUGGCGUCAUAUUAAGUAGGGUCACUAAGUCGUGCCAUUUCAGGUCCGGUCAGGUUGUCAUGUCCAGUCAGGUCAGGUCAGGUCAGGUCAGGUCA